CACAGUGGCCUCUGGGACUAUG
rnacentral:miRNA from 15 species